CCGCCUCAACCUCUGAGUAGCUGGGAUAAUAGGUGCAAGCCACCAUGCCCAGCUGUCCUCCAAAGUCUAUGUGGUACUUCCUUAAAUUUUUAGCUGGUACUCAGCCCUCCCCUGAACACUGAUGCAGAAAGUUGCUCAAAUCAGUCUCACAUGAAAGUAAAACAUUUUCUGAUGGCUGGAGGACCACAGCACAGCGGCAAAUUUCCUGAUAGAAGUCACCUGCCUACUUGAGUCCCAAGGACUAAAAUGUCACUCAAUUUCUUCAAGGCUGAUUUCCAUCAGUGAAUUGAAUGUUCCAGUGUCAGCCACUGACUCAGUUGAAGUUCCACCUCAGCCCAAGCCCCGUCCAUCUCUGACCUGGACUAGAGCUGUGUCUGGAAUGCGUUUCCUUCUGGUGGGUUCUUGGUCUCGCUGACUUCAAGAAUGAAGCCACGCACCCUCUUGGUGAGUGGAGUUUGUUCCUUCAGAUGUUCAGAUGUGUACGGAGUUUCUUCCUUCUGGUGGGUUCAUUGUCUUGCUCACUUGAAGAGUGAAGCCGCAGACCUUCACAGCAAGUGUUACAGCUCUUAAAGGUGGCAUGUCCAGAGUUGUUUGUUCCUCC
rnacentral:lncRNA from 1 species